rnacentral:sRNA from 1 species
AACGGAAGCCCGUGGCACUUGGCGCGGGUUGUUUUGUUAAGAACGUCCGAUGGAACUGCGACAUCGUAACCACUUUUUUCUUUUUGCUAGAAGGAGCAAACAAAAUGUCAGAACGUAUCAUCGGAACGGUCAAAUGGUUUAACGGCACCAAGGGUUAUGGUUUUCUCGCUCGCGAGAACGGCCCAGACGUGUUCGUCCAUUACUCUUCAAUACAGGGUGAUGGUUUCCGUAACCUUACGGAAGGCCAGAAGGUUGAGUUCACAGUCGAACAGGGCGCUAAAGGCCCGCAGGCUGCAGAAGUAGUAAUCCUCUAAGAUAGCUUUCAACCGACAACAAGAAACUCCGCCGAAUUUUCGGCGGAGUUUUUA